rnacentral:misc_RNA from 1 species
AAGAACAAAGAAAAGCAUUACCACCAAGUUGCAGUGACGGCACGAGAAUCUUUCCGAUUUUCUCUGAAACUAUGUCGUUGACGAAGGGCUCCAAGGCGGCUCAGGAUGUUAUCAGCUUCCUGCAGACUGUGGGGCGUCUCAAGGACACGGCCCGGCGGGGCUGGGUGGAAAACCAGAUUUGCAGUCCGGAGUCGGUUAGUGACCACAUGUACCGCAUGUCGCUUAUGUGCAUGAUGUGUCCUGACACCUCGCUGAACCGGGACAGGAUGAUCAAGAUGGCGCUCUGCCAUGAUACAGGCGAGAGCAUUAUCGGCGACAUCUCUCCCGCCAUGAAAGUCCCCAAGGAGGUAAAGAAGCAGCAGGAGUCGCAGGCGGUGCAGGACUUGUGCAACCUCGUGUCGUCCUCGCCGAGCACGACCUUCAGCAAGGAGCUGGGCGACUUGUUUGAAGAGUACGAGGCGCAGGAGACUGCCGAGUCUCACUUCGUAAAGGACAUGGACCUACUGGAGAUGGUUGUGCAGGCGCACAGCUACGAGUCCGUGAACCCAGGCAAGGACCUGGGCAGUUUCUUCAGGUCCGGCGCCAACAUCCACCAUCCGUGGGCCCGCGCCAUAUAUGAGACGCUUCUCGAGACGCGUCCGUACUUGGCAUACACGAAGGAGGAUCAGGCUAAGGAAGCGUCGAACAUGUGAAGAGGUUGGCCGGCUACGCGUGACAAGCGCGCGUGUUUCAUGUUUGCUUGCCCCAGCGCGCAUGUCUGUCUGCGCUCGUGUGCCCUUUCUUACGUGCUUGAAGACGUGGCAGGUACGCAGAUCUGCGAGGCACCAGCCCGCGUGCGUUAAUCGACUCGUGUGACAAGAGAGCUGUUUCUUUUCCCACACAAGAGCAGCGCGGGAGAAGCAAGUGCGAUGCUCCUCGAUGGUGCCCUGUGAGCUCUCGCUGCCCCACGCACACCUAAGCCCACUUCCCUUCAACCCCAAACCUGAUCGCAAAGGGGGGAGGGUGAUGGCGUGAGCUGCCGGGGUGCGUCGCGUGGCUCUGCAGUGGCAGCAGCGGUAGCGCCCCCUCUCGCCCCACCCUCCUUGCCCGACGGCCGGAGAUGCACCUUUGGCUGCGUCUGCCCUAUGUGUGUCAACAAGGAAUCCCCGCCGUGCCUGCCCCCGCACCGCCGUCUCUGUAUCGUCUUGUGAUCUCUCUUCUGCACUUCUUCUCCUUCGUCUCCUCGGGUGGGGCUGCCGCGUGCGUGCACACGCGCAACGCUUUCGUGCUCCACACUCAACGCCCAG